CAUUGAACAUGCCCUGGGAUCAGAACCACCCACAAGUUUCAUUGCUACCAUCAAUGAAGGGAUGACUUGGGCAGCCCUGGUGGCCCAGUGGUUUAGUGCUGCCUUCAGCCCAGGGUGUGAUCCUAGAGACCAGGGAUCAAGUCCCACGUCAGGCUCCCUGCAUGGAGCCUGCUUCUCCCUCUGCCUCUCUCUCUCUCUCUCAUGAAUAAAUAAGUAAAAAUCUUUAAAAACAAAUUAAGGGAUGACUUGAGUCCAGCUCCUUUACUUUCUCAACAGUUUGCUCAUCCACAAAAUGGGGGAAAUGUAUUACUUGUAGAGUUUCUGAGAAGAUGAAAUGACAUAUAAGUGGUUCUCAGUGCAGUGGAACCUAGAGGCAUUUGAUGACACCAAGCGGCCUCUAUCCUGUGCCAGGAACUAGCAAUGCGGAGAUGAAUAAACAACAGCAGAGCCUCUGACAGCAAAGAACUCUCCCAAAUCGAGCUGUUGUAGAGAUUAAAUAAGACAGUGUCUGUAAAGCUCUCUUAAGGCAGGCAAUGAGCACAAUUCCCACAGAAGCUACAACGAAAGCCGGAGGCACUGGCUUCAGUAGAAAUUUUGUUGGAGUAACACGGUUCUGCCAAGUCAUUUUUGAUCAAAGACUUUUCCAUGGCUCCAGCUGCUCAUACAGUGUGCAGUCCUUCUACUGUGUUUCUCCCUUACCUAAAUGUGUAUCUUCAAGCCUGCAUUUCCAAAGGAUUACUUUUGCGUUUAAUUCCUGGCUUAAUGACUGUGUGUUCCCACAGGAUCAAAUACCAUCAUCCAGAGUUAAACUUAGGAGGGAUGAAGUCAGGAUCAGAGUCAUUUUGUUCCUGUUUGUAGUCCUGUUGCCUGGGACAGGAGUUACACUCAAGAAGUGUUUUCUUCGAAUGAAUCAACUGAGAUAAGGUGGGUAGGCAGCACCAGUUGUACAUUCAACUAAAGCAGGUGAUAUUUAACGUUUUAUGGACAAAGUCUUUAUUAGCUGUAAG
rnacentral:lncRNA from 1 species